rnacentral:rRNA from 1 species
UACGGAGGGUGCUAACGUUGUCCGGAAUUACUGGGCGUAAAGAGCAUGUAGGUGGCUUUAUAAGUGAGCGAUUAAAUACCGAUGCUUAACAUCGGAAGGGUUGCUCAUACUGUAUGGCUUGAGAGUGGCAGGGGCAAGCGGAACUUUAGGUGUAGGGGUGAAAUCCGUAGAUAUCUAAAGGAACACCAAAUGGCGAAGGCAGCUUGCUGGGCCUCUUCUGGACACUGAGAUGCGAAAGCGUGGGGAGCGAACGGG